rnacentral:rRNA from 1 species
CGGGACGGGUGAGUAAUGUCUGGGAAACUGCCUGAUGGAGGGGGGUAACUACUGGAAACGGUAGCUAAUACCGCAUAACGUCGCAAGACCAAAGAGGGGGACCUUCGGGCCUCUUGCCAUCGGAUGUGCCCAGAUGGGAUUAGCUAGUAGGUGGGGUAACGGCUCACCUAGGCGACGAUCCCUAGCUGGUCUGAGAGGAUGACCAGUCACACUGGAACUGAGACACGGUCCAG